AUAAAUAGUAGCAUAAAAUAAUAUCAAAGACAUUAUAAUAAAACAUAAAAAAAAAACAUAUGAGAUGAGAGAUUAGAGAAGAUGAAAAAAAGAACAUAAGAGAUGCGAGAUUGAGAAGAAAAGAAAAAAAAAACAUAUGAGAUGAGAGAUUAGAGAAGAUGAAAAAAAGAACAUAAGAGAUGCGAGAUUGAGAAGAAAAGUGCAAUAAAAACGUAAUUGGAAGAGAAAAU
rnacentral:lncRNA from 1 species